UGAAUAGCGUUUUCAACUAAAAACUUUUCCCUCUUGAGAUUUAGACAAAUCUCUCGAACAAACAACACAAGGUGCAAAGAUAAGAGAUGAAGAGAAGCACACAAGUAUUUUAUCCUGGUUCACUUGAUAAUCGCUCAAGCUAGUCCAGUCCACCCGUUAAGGUGAUUUCUUCCUUCUUAGAAUGAAGGUAAUCCACUAUUCAAUGUUUGUUACAGCUGCACUAGCAACCUGCUCAGUGACUAACAAUACAAUGAA
rnacentral:lncRNA from 1 species